UAGCCUAAUGGUUAAGGCUAUGGAUCGCUAAUCCGGAGACUGCGGGUUCGAUUCCCGU
rnacentral:tRNA from 1 species